UACGGAGGAUGCGAGCGUUAUCCGGAUUUAUUGGGUUUAAAGGGUGCGUAGGCGGGAUGCCAAGUCAGCGGUAAAAAUGCGGUGCUCAACGCCGUCGAACCGUUGAAACUGGCGUUCUUGAGUGGGCGAGAAGUAUGCGGAAUGCGUGGUGUAGCGGUGAAAUGCAUAGAUAUCACGCAGAACUCCGAUUGCGAAGGCAGCAUACCGGCGCCCUACUGACGCUGAGGCACGAAAGCGUGGGUAUCGAACAGG
rnacentral:rRNA from 1 species